ACAGUACUAGGAACAGAGCUGUUUACCAACUGCACAAUGACUGAAUGGUAGGAGGAGAGCUUACAGUCUAUGAUCAUAGUGAAGGAAAACCAAAUUAUGGCAAGUAAGAACUAAGACGCUCAUUUAUCAAGAGCGUACAUUACAAAAUUAGCUGCUGACAGCCACCACUAGAGGGAGCUCAGUGCAUAGGAUUUUAUACAUUUACUAUUGAACUCCAUGGUAGCU